UUACUAAAAUUUCAGUAUAUCCUGUACAUUGGACACGCUGUAUAUUGUAUAAUAUACAAGUAUUAAAUAAAUCAUAAUUAUUUAUAUCAUAUCAGCCGCAAGACGUCCGCUGCCGACGGAGAGAGAGAAUAUCUCGGAAAGCAAAUAGUCAUGAAGGUUUUUCUAUUGUUGUUAUUCUUCGUUGCUAUAGUAACAACCACUAUGAGCCAUCCACGGAUGUGGAGAUCGUGGGGAAAACCUCCAACCGCACCAACCGCAACUAUAAUCAUCAUAAACCCUACUAAACAAAAGGAGGUUCCUGUAAUGUUCUCAUUAUCAAAAAUCUUCAACUCUUACAACCAAAUCAAACCUAAACCCCCACCGACAAAAGAUAAAAUAAAAUUACAUGAUAAAAUUAUGAAGCAAAAUAUGGUAUAGCCAGCGCCCGCAGUUCUAUCUACAACUUUCUGAAUUACUUUAUUACUAUAUUACAUUUGAACGGGUUAGAAGUCCCACCCCUAUCACAUUGUAUAUAUAAAGAUAAGUUUUUGUGUAUGUGUAUGUUUUUAUAAUCCUUGUAUCUGUGUGCAUGUCUACUGUCGAAUAAAUGCUUUUUCUUACUUUCAA